CUAUAGUUUAUUACCAGAAAAGUUUCUCAGAAUGUGUAGAGCACUGGAAACCAUGAGGAAGAGGCAUAGCGUUCUCUCUUGAGCAUCAAGUUGGCUGUUGGUGUUGCUUUGCUGCAAACGCCAUUUGUCAUUGUCUUCCUUGUCUUCCUUUAGGAGAGUAAGAGGGAGAGGACACAGUCUGGGUAGUUUCCCUGAAAAAAAGAAAAAAGAAAAGAAAACUACAAUGAGAUACCACCUCACACUUGUUCACACUUGUUGGGAUGGUUACCAUCAAACAAGCAAACAGGAAAUAACAAGUGUUGGCAAGGAUGUAGAGAAAUUACACCCUUGUGGCCGGGCGUGGUGGCUCACGCCUGUAAUCCCAGCACUUUGGGAGGUCGAGCUGGGCAGAUCACGAGGUCAGGAGAUCGAGACCAUCCUGGCUAACACAGUGAAACCCUGUCUCUACUAAAAAUACAAGAAAAUAGCCAGGCAUGGUGGCGGGUGCCUCUAGUCCCAGCUACUCAGGAGGCUGAGGCAGGAGAAUGGUGUGAACCCGGGAGGCGGAGCUUGCAGUGAGCUGAGAUCGCGCCACUGCACUGCAGCCUGGGAGACAGCGAGACUCCGUCUCAAAAAAAAAAAAAAAAAAAGAGAAAUUGGACCCUUGUGCACUGUUGGCAGGAAUGUAAAAGGGUGCAGCCAUAUGGAAAACAGGAUGGCAGCUUCUCAAAAAAUUAAAAACAAAAUUGCCAUGUAAUCCAGCAAUU
rnacentral:lncRNA from 1 species